AUCAUAGUCCUAAAAUCAUUGUCCUGAUCUAUGGGAUUCAUCAUGAUCUUAAUCAAAAACAUAAGAUGCAGCACAUGAUGAAACAAAAAAUACCUUUUAUUAAUAUAAAAUAUCAUUUACAUAAGUCUCAAAGAUUACAAGAAAAAUCCCUUAUAUACAUAAGUCGAUUGGCUUACAAGACAUAUUCCUUUCAAUCUCCCACUUG
rnacentral:lncRNA from 1 species